GAUGAACGCUAGCUACAGGCUUAACACAUGCAAGUCGAGGGGCAUCGAGGAGUUAGCUUGCUAAUUCUGUCGGCGACCGGCGCACGGGUGAGUAACGCGUAUCCAACCUUCCCCUGAGUAGAGGAUAGCCCGGCGAAAGUCGGAUUAAUACUCUAUGUUGUCAGACGAAGACAUCUGAAUCUGACCAAAGAUUAAUCGCUCAGGGAUGGGGAUGCGUCUGAUUAGGUUGUUGGCGGGGUAACGGCCCACCAAGCCAUCGAUCAGUAGGGGUUCUGAGAGGAAGGUCCCCCACAUUGGUACUGAGACACGGACCAAACUCC
rnacentral:rRNA from 1 species